GGCCGGAUAAGGCGUUUACGCCGCCAUACGGCAAUGAUGCACCGCCUGAUGGCGACGCCUCGGCGUCUUAUCAGACC
rnacentral:ncRNA from 1 species